AGAGUUUGAUCCUGGCUCAGAUUGAACGCUGGCGGCAUGCCUAACACAUGCAAGUCGAACGGAAACGAUGGGAGCUUGCUCCCAGGCGUCGAGUGGCGGACGGGUGAGUAAUACUUAGGAAUCUACCCAGUAGCGGGGGACAACUCGAGGAAACUCGAGCUAAUACCGCAUACGCCCUACGGGGGAAAGCAGGGGAUCUUCGGACCUUGCACUAUUGGAUGAGCCUAAGUCGGAUUAGCUUGUUGGUGAGGUAAAGGCUCACCAAGGCGACGAUCCGUAGCUGGUCUGAGAGGACGAUCAGCCACACUGGGACUGAGACACGGCCCAGACUCCUACGGGAGGCAGCAGUGGGGAAUAUUGGACAAUGGGGGCAACCCUGAUCCAGCAAUGCCGCGUGUGUGAAGAAGGCCUGCGGGUUGUAAAGCACUUUCAGUAGAGAAGAAAAGCCUACGGUUAAUACCCGUGAGUCUUGACGUUACCUACAGAAGAAGCUCCGGCUAACUCCGUGCCAGCAGCCGCGGUAAUACGGAGGGAGCGAGCGUUAAUCGGAAUUACUGGGCGUAAAGCGCGCGUAGGCGGCUUUGUAAGUCGGAUGUGAAAGCCCUGGGCUCAACCUGGGAAUGGCAUUCGAUACUGCAGAGCUAGAGUA
rnacentral:rRNA from 1 species